rnacentral:rRNA from 1 species
CCUACGGGUGGCAGCAGUGGGGAAUAUUGGGCAAUGGGCGCAAGCCUGACCCAGCAACGCCGCGUGAAGGAAGAAGGCUUUCGGGUUGGAAACUUCUUUUCUCAGGGACGAAGAAAGUGACGGUACCGGAGGAAUAAGCCACGGCUAACUACGUGCCAGCAGCCGCGGUAAUCCGUAGGUGGCAAGCGUUAUCCGGAUUUACUGGGUGUAAAGGGCGUGUAGGCGGGGAAGCAAGUCAGAUGUGAAAACCACGGGCUCAACCUGUGGCCUGCAUUUGAAACUGUUUUUCUUGAGUACUGGAGAGGCAGACGGAAUUCCUAGUGUAGCGGUGAAAUGCGUAGAUAUUAGGAGGAACACCAGUGGCGAAGGCGGUCUGCUGGACAGCAACUGACGCUGAGGCGCGAAAGCGUGGGGAGCAAACAGGAUUAGAUACCCCAGUAGUC